UACGUAGGCAGCGAGCGUUGUUCGGAAUUACUGGGCGUAAAGAGUGUGUAGGCGGUGCUCUAAGUUCGGUGUGAAAUCUCCCGGCUUAACUGGGAGGGUGCGCCGGAAACUGGAGUGCUCGAACGUGGGAGAGGAAAGCGGAAUUCCUGGUGUAGCGGUGAAAUGCGUAGAUAUCAGGAGGAACACCUGCGGUGUAGACGGCUUCCUGGCCUGUUCUUGACGCUGAGGCGCGAAAGCUAGGGGAGCAAACGGG
rnacentral:rRNA from 1 species